rnacentral:rRNA from 1 species
AGUGAACGCUGGCGGUAGGCCUAACACAUGCAAGUCGAACGGCAGCACAGUAAGAGCUUGCUCUUACCGGUGGCGAGUCGCGGACGGGUGAGGAAUACAUCGGAAUCUACUUUUUCGUGGGGGAUAACGUAGGGAAACUUACGCUAAUACCGCAUACGACCUACGGGUGAAAGCAUGGGAUCUUCGCACCUUGCGCGAGUGGAUGAGCCGGUGUCGGAUUAGCUAGUUGGCGGGGUAGAGGCCCACCAUGGCGUUGAUGGGGAGCCGGUCUGAGAGGAUGACCGGCCACAUGGGGAAUGAGAUACGGCCAAGACUGCUACGGGAGGCAGAAGGGGGGAAUAUUGCACAAUGGGAGGAAGCCUGAUGCAGCAACGCCGCGUGCGGGAUGACGGCCUUCGGGUGGUAAACCGCUUUCGCCUGUGACGAAGCGUGAGUGACGGUAAUGGGUAAAGAAGCACCGGCUAACUACGUG